rnacentral:rRNA from 1 species
CGGCGAACGGGUGAGUAACACGUGAGUAACCUGCCCUUGACUUUGGGAUAACUUCAGGAAACUGGGGCUAAUACCGGAUAGGAGCUCCUGCUGCAUGGUGGGGGUUGGAAAGCUCCGGCGGUUGUGGAUGGACUCGCGGCCUAUCAGCUUGUUGGUGGGGUAGUGGCCUACCAAGGCGGCGACGGGUAGCCGGCCUGAGAGGGUGACCGGCCACAUUGGGACUGAGAUACGGCCCAG